AAUCACAGGGAAAAAUUUGACUGAUUGCAACCCUUAAAAAUGCUAAAGCAGUAAAU
rfam:Mesonia phycicola strain DSM 21425 genome assembly, contig: Ga0070602_107